UAUCUCUAUCUCUCUGGUUCUAUCUAGAACAUUCCCCCUCCCUCUCCGCUCCGAUAGGUUUUCACUCACCUUCCCCGGCCACCUCUUGGCCUGGAUACAUGGUGGUUUCACCACCCACUAGCCUUUUAUGGCUCCUCCACGCUUGGUUAAUGAAGUCUUAUGACCUGACCACGAAAGAGCAGGGUCCAGAUCUUUGUAUGUUUCAAGUUCUAGGGCCAUCUCCGGCGUCAUUUCUGUUCGAGCCCAGCCUCGACUCCUGUUGUUUAGAUCACCAAUGAUAUAUUGGGUUCCUCUGAAACUGUAACUUUCGAGGUUAUUCUGAUUUUCUUUAGAUCUAUUCCAGAUCCAUGUUUUCCCUAAACUCUUUAAACGAUUUCUUGAUAUUUCCUUCAAAGCUAUUUUUCAAAACCUUUAUUUUUUUGAUUUAGGGUUUCUGAGUUAUUUGGAUGUUUCUAUGAUUUUUCUUUAUGUGCUUCUUCUACUAUGUUUCUCCUACUGUGUCUAUGUUUCUCCUAUUGUGUUCUUGGUAUGUUAUUCUACCAUGUUCUUAUCAAUUUCUUCAAUUGUGUUCUUUGUGUGUUUCUUUAUUUGUUUCUCCUACUGUGUUCUUAUUAGUAUCUUCUACUAGGUUUCUUAUUAAGUUUUCCUACUAUGUUUCUUUGAGUUCUGUUACUGUGUUUCGCAUGUUGUUCUUUUACUAUGCUUCUCAUGAGUUCCUGCUAAAAAAAGAGAGCAAGUUAAAGGUCUCAGUUCCUUUAUGAGACCUCUGAACCUGUCUCGAUUAGUAUCUUUUCCCUUAAUCACUUGCCCUUUCGUCUCUGCACUUGAUUAAUGAAAAGAAAUCUAAAUAUUGGGGUUCAUCCGAGUUUUGAGACCCUUGGCUAUGUGAUUUGCUUGUUCUUCUUCUUUGAACUUGUUUGAUUUCGGAAACCCUAACUCUUUUGGAUAUAUUCCGAGUUUCUGAAUUUGUUUCAUCUACU
rnacentral:lncRNA from 1 species